rnacentral:lncRNA from 1 species
ACCCACCCAAAGCCCAAGGUUGCCCCAGCUCAAGCCAGGGAGGGGGACGGAAGAUGCUAACUCUAACCAGUUCUAUCUACAAACAGACUGGUAUGGGAUUCGUUACUUGAGGAGGUGAAACUUUAUCUUCCUUCUUCCACCUGUUUCUUGACUCCGUGUUAGAUAGUCUAAGUUCUUUAUUUAGAAUCUGUGGCUCAUACAUUCGUGCUUUUCCCGUGGGAUUUGAAGUGGUAAAUGUUAGAAAGUCCAUCUUCUCAGCUGUGUUGGAGCAUGGGAGUAUAUGCACCCCACAGAUCCAUGUGGACACUUUCCUUUCACUCUUGAGAUCUGCAGCUCCUUCAAAACAGAGACUGUGUCUGGCAUAUCGUAUGAACCUAAGAACUAUUAGCCAAGGGAAUUACCUGGUGAAGACAGCAUUCAGAGGCAUGUUGCAAAGUGGUUGCAACAUGGAGACUUUCUGCAGUUGUUACACUCAAGAUUUAAUUGGACAAACUAAGUCUAGAUGCAUAAACUAAAACCUGUUACAAAACAAUAUAGGGACAAAAGCCUACAAUUAAAUGUACCAGUCAUCAUGCUAGCUAUAAUUACAGCUUCUAUUCACUUAGUACCAUUUAGGAGCUUGUUUUAUAUAGAGUGACUAAUGGCUUAUAGCACUAAUGUAUUACUAUUGAUACUGUUUUCCAGUUGAUAGACAUGAAGGUCUGAUGGACUAUGUGACUUACCUUUAGUCACACAAUUAAUAAAAAUGAGAUUCAUUUUUACAAGCACCAAGUAGGCCUUAGCAGCCACAAUGGUCUAGGGGGAAGCAAGUCAUGUCUUGUCUUCUUCAGUCAUGAUGGCCACGGAUGGCCAAGGGCUAGAUGCACAAAUGACUAUGAACAUCUGGCCAAGCACUGGCCUUUAAGAGAUAGUUGUUUUAACAGAAUGUAUACAUGAAGAUGUGGUCUGCCUUGCAUAUAAUAUCACAAACAGAAUGUUGUUAAAAAUAAUUUCUGUCAAGUCCUUAGUAAAUGGCAGACUCUGAGGGUACACGACAGACUUAGCAACCCACAGCAGAACUGGCCAUCUUUGUGAUAGAUUUUGAAAGAGUCCAGUGGUAGCUACUUUGAAAGAAAAAACACCUAUUGUGAUAGAGAAGAUGGGGUGCAAUGGAAAGAAUACAGACAAAUAAACUGUUCUGUUGACAUUGCACCCCAAUGAUCCAACGAACUCCCAAGGACUUCAGCAGUGGGCAGGCCAGCCAGAAAUCCCAGCCCUCCUAGCGCUUCUGUAGGGGAAUGUAUGAAUAAACUGGGAAGAGAGUAAGUUAGGAGGAGACAGGUAACUUAGGGAGGAAAUGCUGCAGGAUAGUUGGUGGGCUUUGUGUGCAGGGAGAGAAGGCUAUCCCAGGGAGGGUGAGUAUGUAGGAACUUUCUCUCCUGGGGUUCACUGACUGUAACUAAUCUUUUCCUCCAAGAGUGGCCUCUUGGGCUAUAUGCUAGGGAGCCUUCUACCACCAGACCAGGGUAAGUGUGGAAACUGGGUAGAGUGGGUGGAGAAAGAUAAAAUUCAGAUCUCCUAAUCCUGUAAUCCACUUGAGGAUUUGUGUGAGUCAUAAUGGGAGAACUGAUUAGUUGAUGUCAAUAUGGCCUUUCUAUUCUUUUAGUGUAGAUGUUGAUCCAGGGGUGUAAGUGUCUAAGCAUGUCCUUUAGGAAGUCCCAAGUGAGGUGGUCCAAUGAGUAUAGGUGCUCGCCAGCAAAUUUGAGGACCUGAAUUUUACCCCUGGACCCUAUGUAGUAGAAAGAAAGAUAGAGCUGACUUGUGCAAGUUGUCUUUUGACUUCUGCACAUACACUGUGGUACAAACAUGCAAGCGCACAUGCACACACACACACAUGUCCUCUGAUCAAAUGUUGCAGUAGUUUUCAUGCUGUAAUACAAGUACAUGUCCUCUGAUCAAAUGUUGCAGUAGUUUUCAUGCAGUAAUACAAGUACAUACAAAUAAAUGUAAAAAUAUUUUUAAAUCAUAAUGUAGCUGGAAGCAGGGUGAGAAUGCUCAUUUCAUCAGAUCUUGCAGGAGCCACACACACAUGUGCACUGCAGGGUACAGAGCCACACACACAUGUGCACUGCAGGGUACAGAGCCACACACACAUGUGCACUGCAGGGUACAGAGCCACACACACAUGUGCACUGCAGGGUACAGAGCCACACAUACAUGUGUACUGCAGGGUACAGAGGCUCACAUACAUGUGCAGGGUACAGAGACUCCUGUCCUUUUGAUUUAAAAAGUCUUGCCUAUGCACAAACCUUAACAUUUGAAAAGUAUAAGAAGACAAGAUUAAACAUUAUAUAGAAACAAAGUUUGUAGACAAGUUUGUUGAGUCUGGGCGGCUCAGAACACAUGCCCAGUUAGAUUGAGACCAUGGCACAAGGUGCCUCCGUUGAGCUUCUCGGCAGGGACACAUUGGUCUCUUCUACCUUGCAUAUUGCUUUCUGGGCUUAAAGCCUCGCCUGCGGCACAGCAGUCCUCAGUCGGCUUCCUCCUGCCCUGCUCUCUUGGAAGCUGCUUCCCUUUGCUUCCUGAGCAGAGCCUUUGCUGCAGUGCCUUCUCCGCUUCCUGCUGGAUCUCAGAGUCCAUCUUCCUGUGUCCUGCUCUUC